rnacentral:lncRNA from 13 species
AAAAAAAGUAAAACCCACAUAGAAGCCAGGUGCGGUGGCUCACUCCUGUAAUCCCAGCACUCUGGGGGGUCGAGGCGAGCUGAUCGUCUGAGGUCAGGAGUUCGAGACCAGCCUGGCCAGCAUGGUGAAAACCUGUCUCUACUAAAAAUGCAAAAAUUAGCCAGGCAUGGUGGCGCGUGCCUGUAAUCCCAGCUACUCAGGAGGCUGAGGCAGAAGAAUCGCUUGAACCCGGAAGUGGAAGCAGCAGUGAGCGGAGAUCGCGCCACUAUACUCCGUUCCAGCCUUAGCAACAAGAGGGAAACUCCAUCUCACAAAAAGAAAAAUAAAUAAAUAAAGGAAAACAAACCCACCGUAAUGGCAACAUAUAAAUCAAGACCUCGCUUCAUUUUAAAGUACGUUUCUUCUUGGACAAUGCAGAAUUUUAAGUGUACAAGAGGAAAAGUAGGAAUGAAAGGGAAUUAAAAACCUCUGGAUUCUCAUCAAGCAAAUACUGUAAAUGAAGGGAGCAUAUCUUUGCAGUUGUUGGAUGUACAUAGAUAAGUAAAGGUUUACUAGGGUUUCCUGUUAAUUGGCCAUCUGGUUUCUAGUAAACAAGCAAAUGUGGACCUUUUGGACUGUCAGAACACGUGGAGAGAAUGCAAGGGCUGUUGAUAUGUAAGGUGACAAGUACCUGGCGCACAGAAAAGAGAUAAGAAAUGGGGAAGGACUUUCUCCAGGAACAUAAGCUUACCCAUGUCAAGGCUCUGCCUAUCCGUGGGCUCAUCAGGAUCUGGCCUAACUCCAACCAACUCUGCACAUCUGGUGGCCUUGAAUAAAGAUGAAGUUUCACCAUGUUGCCCAGGAUGGUCUCACACUCCUGAGCUCAAGGAUCCAUUUGCCUUGGCCUUCCAAAGUGCUGGGAUUAUGGGCUUGAGCCACUGUGCUGGGGAAUCUCAUGUUUUCUCUAAUUGAUCAUAUUCCCUUAUGUACCUUUGUCAUCUCUAAAUAGAACAUACUAGCCCUUCAAUUGUCUCUUACUACUGAGGUCUAUAAUAUCUUUCCCACAGUCAAACUACAUUAACCCACUUCAGUUUUAGCUCAACCAGUCAACCCCAUAAGAACUGUCACGGAGGCGUUAAAGAGGACGAUCUGGUGUUUAGGAUAUGAUAGCAGAAAAACUUCACAGCUAUGGAUGGUUUUAGGACAACUUGUGAAUACAAUUGCAAGAUGGUUCAGAAUAGAUACAGUUAAAUAUUAUUCAUGCCACUAUAUUUUCCUCACAAUUUUUUGAUGCUGAUUAAACAUAUGAGCCUUAUUUACCAGAAUUCCCUCAGAGUCCAUGAAACAAAUUUUCUGUUGCUGAUUAGGUGGUUUAUUUUGAAUUACUGCUGGCAAGGUUUGGAGGUAUGAUUACUCUUCUUUGAAUCUUGAGCGGAUGAAAGAUUGCCAAGUUGAGCUUUUUUUAAAAAAAAAAAAAUAAAGUUUGUAUCAUGAAAAACUGUAGUGGUAUU